CGGAGGGGGCGGUGAAUUUGACGAUGGUGCGGACGGCGGCGUAGGCUAUGGCUAAACCCAAAACGGCGCCGUCGAAGGAUAGGGCUAGUUGGGAGAGAAGGGAGACUAGUGCUUGCUCUUGUGAAGACAUUGUUCGUUCAUUCCUUCGCGCUCUUCGUAACCAUCUCUUGUUAGUUGUGAAGCUUGAAGGAACUUCACAAAUGACAACCACGUCGUCGUUUA
rnacentral:lncRNA from 1 species